UACGUAGGGUGCAAGCGUUAAUCGGAAUUACUGGGCGUAAAGCGUGCGCAGGCGGUUGUGCAAGGCCGAUGUGAAAUCCCCGGGCUUAACCUGGGAAUGGCAUUGGUGACUGCACGGCUAGAGUGUGUCAGAGGGGGGUAGAAUUCCACGUGUAGCAGUGAAAUGCGUAGAGAUGUGGAGGAAUACCGAUGGCGAAGGCAGCCCCCUGGGAUAACACUGACGCUCAUGCCCGAAAGCGUGGGGAGCAAGCAGG
rnacentral:rRNA from 1 species